AUUGAACGCUGGCGGCAGGCCUAACACAUGCAAGUCGAGCGGAAGAAGGGAGCUUGCUCCUGGAUUCAGCGGCGGACGGGUGAGUAAUGCCUAGGAAUCUGCCUGUUAGUGGGGGAUAACGUCCGGAAACGGGCGCUAAUACCGCAUACGUCCUGAGGGAGAAAGUGGGGGAUCUUCGAACCUUCGGCUCUUGCGCGAUCUAGGUCGGAUUUGCUAGUUGGGGGGGUAAAGGGCUACCAAGGCGACGAUCCGUAGCUGGUCUGAGAGGAUGAUCAGUCACACUGGAACUGAGACACGGUCCAGACUCCUACGGGAGGCAGCAGUGGGGAAUAUUGGACAAUGGGCGAAAGCCUGAUCCAGCCAUGCCGCGUGUGUGAAGAAGGUCUUCGGAUUGUAAAGCACUUUAAGUGGGGAGGAAGGGCAGUAAGUUAAUACCUUGCUGUUUUGACGUUACUAACAGAAUAAGCACCGGCUAACUUCGUG
rnacentral:rRNA from 1 species